CAGUGAUUUCAAGAGUGAUGAAACAUUUAUAAAUGUCUGAUUGUAAAAAUCAUUCAUUCAUAAAUGUUUCAUCAGUCCUGAAAUAACUGAU
rnacentral:pre_miRNA from 1 species